AUAUCCCAGCCUUUUGGCUAAAAUCAAGUAUAAUAUCUGUUCUUGUCAGUUUGAUAUCUGAUAUGUCCUUUAUUUUAGGAUGCAAUAUUAAAAAGGUUUUUUGGAAUUAGGGGAUAGAAUAGAGGCUUGCUCCAUCCAUACCACACAUUGACCUUGUAUUGUAGUAUUUCAGAAAUGGUGUACUACUA
rnacentral:snRNA from 1 species